rnacentral:lncRNA from 1 species
CAGAUGCCAAAAAAGAUGCCAACAGACACUACAUUACCCUAAUGGCUGCUACCCAGAACCUUUUUAUAGGUUGUUCUUAAUUUUUUUGUUGUUGUUGUUCAAGCUUUUCCUUUCUUUUUUUUCUUGGUGUUUGGGCCACGAUUUUAAAAUGACUUUUAUUAUGGGUAUGUGUUGCCAAAGCUGGCUUUUUGUCAAAUAAAAUGAAUACGAACUUAAAAAAUAAAAGCUGGUAUCUUAAAAUGUAAGAGAGUAAGACUGUGAAGCCUAAAAUGACUGGCUGAGAAUGAACCAGAAAUGCCAUUUGCCAAACAGUUGUAACUAGAAAUUUGAUUCUCACGGUCCAUUCUUUUCUUUGUCCUUAAGAUGACAUUGUUAGUGUUCACGUCCCAUGUUCAGUGUCCAAACCGGCAAUGUAAAAAGUAUCCUGUGUGGUUUAACAGGAAAUCUGUUUAUGUCUCUUUAUUUGAAACCAGUUUUACUCUCAGUGGUUCUUUAAGUUCAAUGAAGUCUGCCAGGAACAUUGGUUGGUAGUAUUAUUCCGACACCUUUAAUUUCCAAAAUCUGAAGUUCCUGCUAGUUUACCACCUUCAUGAUCUUCUUGAACUGGUAACUGAUUAGGUUGAACUUAUGGAAGAUUUGUGGACUUAACUCAAAAGUAACCUCUCAGUGUUCUAUAGAACAUGUAUUUGUGUAACUGAACCUACCAGGAGAAAUGUUUGGAAUUCUAUAUGUGCAAUUUUUCAACAAAUGCAAAAAAAAUACAGCACAUGUAUUGACAAGCUUCUGUCAAGCAGCUUGAGUUGAAAUUUGAUUUAAGAAAAUAAAUCAUGAUUGUUCAAAGCUGCUGGGACGUUAGAAUUAGGCCAUGAUACUGGUCUCAUUUUAACUACAGUGGUAUUUGGCACUAGUGUAAACUUCCAUAUAAAUCACUCUUUUGGAACAACAAAGGGGGAGGGAGAAAAAUCACGGCCUGUUAAAUGAGUACCAAAGCCGCCCAACAGUAAUGAGAUGUUCUCAUCCUUGAUUCUCCCAGCCUCAAACAACACAGCUUACUUUUUUUUUCCCUUGCUCAGAAAGUACCUGUAAUUUAACAAACAGACUGCCUGUAGGUAUAGUGCAAUUACAAAUGCUCUAAUCAUUGUACAUACAUCUCUCUUGAUAUUGCAGCAUCCAUACUGGCUUUGUAAUCAUUAAUUUUUUGGCAGAUUGAAUGUGCUGUAUUGAUAUGUAUCUAUGUAAUUGUAUUGUAUGUCUAUAGCUAAUUCACGUUUUGAAUAAUGUUAUUUUAUUUACUUUUUUAAGAGAGGAGAAUGUAAAUUUGUCAGUUUAUUUCUGACUAGGGAUAUUUUCUUUCCAUUUAGAAAAGAAGAAAAAAAAAAAACCUUACUGUCAUACAGAGCGGUACUAGCGUCGUGCUGUAUAAAAUCAUUUGCACAUUCCUGAGUAGAGGUAUACUGAUUAUAAGACCCAAAGGUAAUUUCAUAGCAAAAUACAUAAAAUCAGUCGGAGCUUUUAUACAAACAUGGAAACCAACUUUGUAGAACUUUUGCCAUUUGAUCUAGGAUUGGAAUAUGAGCUUUUAUACAAUUCAUAUUCUUAUUUGGCAAAUGCACAGUUUAGUAUUACCUCUCUGAUGGCCUUUACUAGAAAGGCAGUUUUAGAAGCUAUUGUGAUCCACUAAGGAAAUGUUUUAACAGCUAGAGACCACUGCUUGCCUGAAAGGGCGUUCUUAAAUUUGGUGCAGCAAAAAAAAAAAAAAAAAAAAAAAAAAUUAAACAACAACAUUUGAAGGCCUACAGUGUGUAUAGAGAAAACCUCAUCACAAGAUCAUAAGUGUUACAGUUUUAGGGAAUCAAGAUAUUCUAUUUAAUAGAGCUAUAGUAAAUGUAGUCAAUUAAACCUGAUCUCAAAGCUUGAAGAAGCUGAGCAAAACAGGGAAAGAUUGUUAUAUUUGUCUUUAUGAAAUUGGGAUGGAAUUUGCUAUGCAGAAUUGAGGUUUGUGGCUUCGCUGUUCCUGUAGGGUGCAUGACAAGAUCCCUUCUCUUGAGAAAGGAAAAAAUUGAUCACCCUAGCAGCAGUGAUGCAUAGAAACCUAAUUUUAGCCACACCAGUCAAUCGAAGCUAAAGGAUUUUCUUUUUUGUUUCUUCGGGGUUUUAUUGAAGGGGCUAGGGGCGGGACGGGAUUCUUUUCAGUUUUGUAUAAAAACAAAGUUUACUCAUGCUUUAUAUUAUAUUGUGAUUGCAAGCGUUAUAAGCGUGUGCCACUGGCCUCCUAUUGUUGAUGCUUAGGUAAUGGAGGCCUGUGGUGAGUUUUAUGGUGACUUGGGCAUGUCUUAUUCAAAAACAAAAACAUAAAACACAGAAACCUUUCUUCAGCAUACCAAGGCAAGCAGCCAUUUCAUGACUCACUUAACACAUUGCAGUGUACCAGUUUACAGAUGAUUUUUCCCUUUUUGCGUGACAUGGCAGUUCUAACCCCCAGAGAAUUCCUUAUUUGUAAAUUGGAAGUUUCUACUAUGCCUUACAGAGCUUAAAUUCAGAAGUUUGUGCCUCAUAUCUGAAACAAAGGGAAAUAACACACCCAUUCAAAAGUAAAUAAAUCUCCUAGAAGUUUUUGUUUUUAACAUUUCCAUAUAAAGAGCUCUGUUGAAUGUCAUGAAUAGACUGGAAAAAAAAAUUUUAAGAACCUGCAUAUGUUGUUUACUAGCAGAUGACAACUACAAAAGGAAUCUGAAGAACACGUAAAACUUGUAUUUUUUUUUUUUUGGUAGAUUAACUAGCAGGCCUAUUUUAAAAAGGUAAUUCAGCUAAAGGGCAAUUUACUUUUUUGUACUUCAGACUAUCUUGAUUGUCAAAGUGUACGAACUGUAAUUUUAAAAUUUAUACUGCCACAUGAUUGUAAAUUUUAGUUGUCUUAAGUUAGGAAUUGGUGAAAAGCUAUUUAUGCUGGAUUUGGGUCAAAAUGACUUAUUUGCAAAAAAAUAAAUAAUGGGAAGAAAGGGCUGUAUAAUGAAAUACUGCAAGACUCACAUAUUGGUUGGAAAUUUCCCUCAAAUCACCUACCGAUUACCCUUGAUUUCCCUUUGUUUUCAGUUUCUCAAAACGAAUGAAAUGAAAUAUAGCAGAAUGUUAACCCAUAUAAAAAUAAAGUGUACCCAAAUAUUGUAAUGUAUAUUGCUGCUCUUCUUCAAAUUAAAUAAGGGUUUAAAACCACUUAAUUGGUAAUCAACAUCUCAAUUGAUACAAAUAAGGUGUGCUUGGUAUACAUUAAUAUUUUCUUCCAAAGAUAUAUCUUUGGUUAGAAACACAAAAAAAUAAAACUAGUAAUAUUGUAUGUUUAUCUAUCUCUACAUAUUUCCAGCAUAUGUAGCGUUAAUAGAUCUGUCCUGGUAACUGUGUCUUUGGGAUUUCAUUUUGGUUCCAUCAAAUUAGGAAAAGAAAUGGCUUAGUUGUAUAUGAUUAGCUAGAGAUUUUUGGAGCCAGACACCUGCUGUUUAGUAGAUAACUUAGUACAGACCCUAAACUUGUCAUUUGUUUUUCUCACAGAAUAGCCAUUUCCUGCUGUCUUCCCAAUGAUCACUGCCCUUUCAAUAACACUCUUGCCUCUAGAAUCAUAUGUUCAAAGUAUGAAUACACACCUAGCACAUAGUAGGUGCUCAAAUAUUAAUUUCCUCCUUGCCUUCCUUAUCUACCCUGUGUCCUCCAUUUCCCCGUAUGAUUCCAACCCAAUAUAGCAAAUGACAUUUACAUGUUAUGAAAACAUCUAUUGGGUAAA